GAUAUUUCUUUGCAUUUUGACCAUUCCCUCUUGAUGUGGGAGUUCUAGUGCAAGUGGGGUUUUCCUUUUUUUUUCUGGGAUUUUGAAGUGGAAGUGGGAGUUCGAGUGAUUUGGAUUAUACCCGAGAGAAGGGGUUGUUGGUGCAGCUUUUGUUUAAAUAAUUAAAAGUUCAUUUAUGCUCAGUUUUGAAUAUGCUGCCUGAUCAGGGAAAAAAGGCAGUCGAUGACAAGCAAAAUGAAGCCAUCACAGCUGCAUCUAAUGAGUUGGC